UGGUCCGUCGCUGUAAUGAGUCCCCUUCCAUGAAUGAUGUGUUUGCUAACAACUGUGUGGUCUUUCUUCUCACACGUGUAAAAGUUCCCGGGCAGUCUCAGCUGUUAACUUAAUAACAUAACAUUAAUCAUAAAUUAACGUCUUCACCAUGGUAACCAUUGUGAGGGUAUCCGACACGGCAACCCAAGUGGCUAGUAACGCUGGUUGGAUAAGUUACUGGAAUCGACCAUACAACCUGGUUUCUGUACUUCCUGAGAGAAAACCCUUGCUCGUGGAUAAUGCUGGAGAUACCUGAUAAACAUCUUUCUGCUCAUCGUUCAAAGCUACUGUACUG